UCUGGAGGACUAAGAAAGUAGAGCCAGUGAAGUUGUAUUGACUCUGCUGAUACUAUCCUCCUAAAUGAAAUGGUGGAAGAACAAGGCCUGUCUGUGAAAUGGAGUCAGGACCUACUUUCUCUACCUACAAGG
ensembl:scaRNA